CCCACCCGCCGUCCGAAUGGUUUGUCCCCCCACCUUAAAAGAGACCGCGUGGAGGCGGCUCGCUCUUUUCCGCGCUUCGCCGCUACUACCGAGGUGGUUGUUGGAGGGAGGUUUUCUGCCGAAGCCAUGUGGGAUCUGACUUCAAAAAGCCAUAGAAAGAACCAGUGUGUAGAGUUGCGGGAGAAACAUGCAAAGGGACUCAGGAGCUGUCCUCCAAGAUGAGCAAUUGUGAUUGAAAUGCCAACUGUUAACUGGAAAGGAUGUUUCUCAUUUACUCAAAGACUGAAGUCCCUCCAGAUUUCCUUGAAGAGGCUUGUUAGAUACACAGUUUGUACUGAUGUAAACAUGAUUAAAAUCAGAGACCAGAUUUGCAUUAUUAAAGUUGAGAGCUGAAAGAAGAUUUUAGAAGAAUACACUUCUAAGAUGCAUGGAGGUAGGCUUGGACAAAUAUUACUACUAUUCAAUGCACUCAAGACUACUGAAAGUGUCCAUUUUUCCCUUAAAACCCUAUGAAGACCUACAUAUUGGCGCAAAGAGAUUAUUUCCUGCAUUAUUGUGGCAGUAAACUUAGAAGCUAACUUCUUCCCUUUGUUGUACAUGCUUAUUGAAUGGGUCCAGUUUCAGAACCCUUCA